rnacentral:misc_RNA from 1 species
GAUGAAGAACGCAGCGAAACGCGAUAAGUAAUGUGAAUUGCAGAAUCCAGUGAACCAUCGAAUCUUUGAACGCACAUUGCGCCCGCCAGCAUUCUGGCGGGCAUGCCUGUUCGAGCGUCAUUUCAACCCUCGACCUCCCCUUGGGGAGGUCGGCGUUGGGGACCGGCAGCACACCGCCGGCCCUGAAAUGGAGUGGCGGCCCGUCCGCGGCGACCUCUGCGCAGUAAUACAGCUCGCACCGGGACCCCGACGCGGCCACGCCGUAAAACACCCAACUUCUGAACGUUGACCUCGAAUCAGGUAGGACUACCCGCUGAACUUAAGCAUAUCAAUAAGCGGAGGA